UGUUGAUGGUCCCUGGGGUGCCAUCAUAGCUCCCUCUACCCACCUGGAUGCCCAGAGAGGGUCACUGGGUCAGUCAUCCAGGGUCACACAGGCCAGAUGAAGAGUGGCAGCAGGCAACUGUCACACAGUGUGAGGAGGAAGGGACAGACUGGCCCUUCCUUUGUCCAUCCACCUGAGGUCCAGACACUGAGCACACAGCUAUGGCUCUGGCCCACAACGGCUCCUGCCCUUGAGAACAGAGAGUAACCCUAAUCACAUACCCUGCCAUCCCAUUCCAGACCACAGCUGAGCGCCACACGGAGAACAAAACAGAAUGAGGAACCUGAGGACUGUGACAACU
rnacentral:lncRNA from 1 species